GCUAUUCUGCGAACGUUCUAGAAGCCCGCGCGGCGUUCGAUAUAUCGCGAGAGAACCUCUCCAGCGAGCAAUCGUUUCCUGCUCGUUCGUACCUCGUAUGGUACGUACGACACGAGGGAUGUCGCACGGCGCCGCUUCGCGCUCUUAGGAACCGAACACUGGGCAGGAUCCGGAUUCGAGAAUCUUAACCAAACGGAACGUGCGUGAGACUUUUAGAGGUUCUUUAACUCUCGCCGUACCGUCGUUGCCGGUCGCAACUGUCGGGCUUCAGCAACAUGGCGAUGAACGUGCCGUAUGAGGCGAUCGGCAAGGGCUUCGUUCAGCAGUAUUACGCGAUGUUCGACGACCCGGCGCAGAGGCCGAACCUCAUAAACAUGUAUAACGCGGAGACCUCCUUCAUGACGUUCGAAGGCUUGCAGAUACAGGGCGCUAUCAAAAUCAUGGAAAAGUUAACUAGCUUAUCCUUUCAAAAAAUAAAUCGGAUAAUAACAGCGAUUGAUUCGCAACCCAUGUUUGAUGGAGGAGUUCUCAUUAAUGUAUUAGGAAGGUUGCAGGCAGACGAGGAUCCACCACACGCCUUCUCGCAAUGUUUUGUGCUGAAGCCAAUGGGUAAUUCAUAUUACUGCCAGCACGAUAUCUUUCGCCUUGGCAUUCAUGAUAGUGCAUGAACGAGAAAGAUCAAGCUGAGUUUUGCGACGAGCGUGUGAACAGACAGGUUGUUGAGCGACGGAUGUCCUGGAGAUCGCGAUUAAUAAUUUUCGUUCUAGGUUUUGCUACUGUAUGAGGAAUCGCGCUUUUGCAUACGUACAAUUGUGGGAGAAGAACGUCCUCCGGUGCCCUCGCGAAGCCUGGCAGGAAGAAGCCCUUGUACCUCGUUCUAUCGAUAAGUGUAUGGAGCGUGUCGCCAUACUGAAAAUCAGUUUAAUUAAUUAACAUCUACUAGAAGGCGAUGAUAUAGCAAAUCGUGUAAGAAGGCAAAGAAAAAAAGCAUCUCCCUUGUUUCUUUACCUUCACAAUGGUAUCUAUGUCUUCGACGUUGAACGCUACGUCUCGCACGCCGUCCCCGUGUCGGGAAAGAUGAUCAGACAUUUCUUCAUUAUCAGGCUCGUACGGAGAUUCAAACACGAACACUAUCUACGAUCACGAUCUUUGAUGAUUAGAAAGCUCUAUAUAUAUUCAAGAUUUCGAGAAAACGUUAAAUAAGUUGUUAAUUAAGCGUGCAUUCAAAGUUACUCACUUUGUUCUGUCUGACGACGUGCGUAGCUGUUCGUCUGAAGCCAUUUUCCAAACCGCGAUAUCCAACUGGCUGGAAUCCCAUCCUGCAUCGGUAGAAACUGGCGGCCUGCGAGCAACACAAUUGUGUUAUUUUCAUAUACAAUUUUUCAUUUUAUUUAUUUUUUUUUUUUUUCUUAUCUGCUUUCUUUGUACAUAGCGUUUCUUAGCAUGUAGAAAACAUUCGAAACAUGAAAUCAACAGUUUAUGUACAUAACUUGAUAAAACUUAUAGAGACGUAGAUAAGGAAUAGAAUUAUGUUGAAUACCAUAAAUUUAUAGAGAUAUAGAUAAAAAAUAGAAUUAUGUUGAAUACCAUUUAUGUGAUUCCUUUUUAUUUUUAAAUCUAUUUCUAUUUCCCGUGUAUUAAGAAACGUUUUGUACAUGAGAGUUUACCUGCUUCGCAUUUCCAACCCAGAAUUUUAUAUGAUCGAAACUGAGGAAUUUUCCUCCGACGGGCUGAAAAAUCCAGAUAUUGUAUCACAUUUUUAGUAAAAUAAUUGUUUCCAUAAUUAUUUUAUAUAAAUUCUACUAAAUAAUAGUAUUAAUUCCAAAUGGGAAAACAACUUGUCUUCUUCUCUCCCAAACAUUUUGGCAAAGGAUAAUGGAUUUACCUGGGGUCCUUUAUCGGUGUAAGUUGUCUGGAAACAAACGCAAAGAAUUUAUUACUUGACGUUAAAUGAGCUAAAUCAAUUAAAAAAAAAGAAUAGGUAUAACAGAUAUUGUUAGCACAGAUUUUCUACGACGCGUAUCACACAGAAGCAUUUUAUAUAGAGAAGUUCAUUCUAGCGAAUUAUAAAUUGUGAAGAAUUACAUAUUAGAUAAGUGAUCAUUCUAUACGAUUAAUAAUCAGAUUGAAUUGUAAAAAUAACUUUAUUACUAGGUGACAGUUUCUCAACUUACCAUGAUGACUUUCGAAAUUGAGGAAAACGGUAAAAAGUAUCUCCUGCAAUGGUAUCGAACGUUCGAUUAUCACUGUCCGCUCAUCGGGUUCCGCUUUAAAUAUCUUGGGACCCACCGACGAUCCAUGGGCUCGCCUUGUCACGCUAUUGGUCUACGACGGGGGCUUGUUUGUGCUACGCGUUCUCGGUGGUCAGCAGCCCAUAAAUCAAACCGGCAACGACGACUGGUUUUUUUAAUUAAAUGCAUCAUUAAAGCUGUGAUACACUCAGUGGCACGCAUUCGAGGUGUGCUCGCCUUCCUAAUUAGCACAAAAGACCACAUUUCUCCACAAGCACGUAUGCAUAUGAGCAAGGUCUCUGAAGAUCUCCAGGCUUGCGUCACAAAAGUUUCCAUUCUAUGGAAUUUGAAGAGAAACAGUUUUUGAUAAUACGAUUGUUAUAUGUUACACAAUAUAAUUAUUUGAUAAAAAUAUGUGCGUCAGUGUCUUACAAAAUAUUUGUUCUUUUCAAGUUACACUAAAUAAGCAUAGAGAGAAUUUAGAAAAAAAAUUAUAUAAAAAUUAUUCUAUGAUGUUAAAUAAGUAGAAUUAAUGAAAAAAUGUUUUCUGUGUUUAUUAUAUAACAACCAUGAUAUAAAAGGCGAUUUAUGCUAAUAUAUAAAAAUGUCCUCCAAUUGCUCAAUAUCUCAUUUGCUAUAAGGAAAUCGAGAAACUUUGUAUUUUAUUUGUCACCUUCGGUGUAUUAAAAUAAUUUUUCCGCAUAAACAUUUCGCUUACUGUAGCAAACAUAUUUACGCGCCUGGUGUUAGAAAAUGUAGUUUUUCUGUGUACACACCCUCUAAUGCAUUUAUGUAUGUAUACUACGUAAUAUUAGAUUGGAGCAUGCUUUUUUGCUGUUUAUGUUAAACGCUCCAGCGAUACAAAUAGCAAAUGUCGUACCCGCCUAUACGAGUAUUAAUUUUAAAUUUCAUUUAUUUAUCAAUAGCAUCAUAACGUUUAAUUAGUUAUCAAUUACAAAUAAUUAUUUAAAUUAAUCUCUUGGCUAUUUUUAUAAUCUCUCCAGCACCUCAAAUGCGGAAUUUCUCGCUAUUAUUUAAUAAUAAUUCAAUAUUAAAUAAUAUACAUCCUUAUUAAAAAUAUACAUAUUAAACGCAAAAAUAUGGCGAGAAUAUGCUAUAAACUUUUCCAUCUAAUCUUUUAAUUUUUGAUAAGAUACAAAAGAUACAGGGGAUGUCAAAAAAUAAGAUCAAAGAAAAUAUGUAAAGAACGAUAAACCGUUUUAUUAGACUUCAUCUCAAACAAAACACAAGAACUAUCAGAUACAGAGAAAAAGUCAUCUGGAGAAUGUAAUGAUAACAUGAUUCAACUCUGCUCGCCAAAAAAUCUCGUCGAUACAAUAUAUUAGCAUAACUUCUAAAUUAAUCGUAAUAAAUAUUUGAGAAUAUCACAAUCGUAUUGUUGACGAAAAAUUUGUUUCGCGGAAGAUUUCUGCGUGAGGUCAUCGACAUUUUUAUUUAAAUAUUGCAAGACAGGAAAUAAAUUUAACAUCGAGCGAUGAUGUAAAAAGUAGCGCGUAAAACGUUGCAUAAAAUAUCUUUACAUUAAAAUUGACAACGUCGAGCAGAAUGAUCCUUGUAAUAUUAUUAUCGUGUCUAUUAUUUCCCUACAAAAGCAAUUCGAGCGACUAGAAAUACUGGACGCAGCGCAUUCGCGAAAUACUGAUCUCCGUCCUUCUCGCGGAGAAUAUACAAUAUCUUUAACUAUUCUCUACAAAACAAUGUCUAAUUCGCGCUGACUCGAUUAAAAUGCAAAUAAGUUACUAAUGGCUCGUUAUGCAUAUGUACAAUAAAUCGACUAUAUAUACAGGAUGUCCGAGAAUCAAAGAUACAUUGUCGUAUCUCACAAAAUUUAAUGUCGACUAUUUUUUCAGAUAUAAAUAUUCUACAUUUUAGUAACUUUUAAAUAAUUAAGCAAUUAUUUUUACAGUAGUUUAUACUUUUUUCUAGUAAUUAUAUAGACAGCGAAUUGCAAUCAAUCAAAAAAUCUAGAUAAAGUAAAAUGCAAAGUUAAAUUACGAACAAUGUUACAUUUAUCUUCACUUAUGAAACCUGAUCUCCGGAAGAUUUCUCAUCUCUAAUGACUUUAUAAAUUGGACUCUAAUGAGAUAUGCCUCAUGAUAUAUUGGUAGAUCAAAACUCGGGGAGGAGAAAAACUGUCUCCAUGUUUCCAAAAUAAUAUUAUCUACUAUAUACUUUCCGUCGAUUCUAAGACAUCUUAUAUACAAUAACAUAUAUAUAUAUAUAAUAUAAAUAACAUUUGCUAUGAUAUCGAUUUGCACGAUUGAUGAAACGGUAAAGUACAAACUAAUUGGUCGACGAUCCGUUUCGUAAAAAAUUUCUCUCGACCGGUAUUACACACGAUAGAAAUACAUAGGUAUUGCAGCGGUAUAUAAAAGCUCUUCGAUCGUAGCCGAUUCUUCUAGAAUUACGCGUCGGAAAAUCACAGAUUACAAAAAUACACGUAGAAAAACGUUCCGUAAAUCUCCCAUUAAAAUUAUCUCAUCGAAAUUAACGUUCGAGUCUUUUCUCUUGUUCUUGUGGAUAUGAUUUCUCUUGCCAAAAGCAAAUAAGCGAAAUCGUAAACGUAUGCAUUAUUCUUCUCUUUUUUU